GACGUAGGGCGCGAGCGUUGUCCGGAUUUAUUGGGCGUAAAGAGCUCGUAGGCGGCUUGUCGCGUCGACUGUGAAAACCCGUGGCUCAACCAUGUGGUCUGCAGUCGAUACGGGCAGGCUAGAAUUCGGUAGGGGAGACUGGAAUUCCUGGUGUAGCGGUGAAAUGCGCAGAUAUCAGGAGGAACACCGGUGGCGAAGGCGGGUCUCUGGGCCGAUGUUGACGCUGAGGAGCGAAAGCGUGGGGAGCGAACAGG
rnacentral:rRNA from 1 species